UUCUACACUUCCUGGUAUCCUAGGAGGCUCAGCUGCCUCUGCCAACUCCCUUUUGCCAAAUCUACAGCAGCUUCCUUUUUUUUUUUUUUAAGCUCUUCUACUGUAUCAGGGGCUUUACCUGCCCUAUCUCAUGUUCAGGGGAGCAAUGCAAGGCUCAGAGAGAUCAAGGGCUAGGCUACAAGGCCUUUUGCUUGAUAGCCUCUCUGUCCCUGAUUGGCUGAGACACAUUCAAUAAGUCCUAAAGGUGGGACGAGAACAAGUGUGUCACAUUUGGGACUUAUUUUCCCAACCACCAAUGCUGAAUAUUGCACAUGUGUAAGCUUAUCAGAUCCUCUAACAAUUCACCACCACAGGGGUAAUGAUUUUUUUUUUUAGUGCAUGAGGAAGCAAGUUCAGAGAGGUUAAGUAACAUGCCUGAGGUCACAUGUCUUAUAAAAGGGUGGGCUGAAUUAGAAUAAUAAUGCCAAACAUUUAUUGGCUUGUGAGCCAAAGUAUUUUAAUAUAUGUGUCCACUAGUUUCUCAGCAAUCCAGUGAGGUAAGUAUUAAUAUCCUCACUUUUAUAGGAGGAACAGAAGGGUUUAUCAACAAGAUUAUCCUACAGGGAACAAGCCUUUAAUCAUGACUUUGACACAUCAUAGAAAUCAGGCCAUUUGUCCCAAAUCCUGGACUCCUUUCACCACGCCUGACUGUCCCUGGGAACUUUUCUCCCAUUCUGAGCCUCAAUUUCUUUUGGGGACCACAUUUAAUGUUUCUCUGCAUAAAAACCAUGUGGUACCAGGGUUUAAAGCCAGAAUUUCUUAAUUUAAUGUGCUAAAAUGACCCUUUGAGUUUUUUUUUUUCCUGAUCCAAGCUGUUUAAAGUUAUAACUUUAUUUUAUUUUGGUUUUGGGUUAUACUGAUUGUGAUCAGGGCCUACACCUGAUCCAGAGCUCAGGGAUCACGCAUGAUUGGGCUCAGAGAACUUUAUGGAGUGCUGAGAAUCAAACCUAGAUUGGUUGACUACA